GGUGACUCAACGGUAGAGUACUUGCCUUGCAUGCAUGAGGCCCUGCGUUCGAUUCCUCAGCACCA
rnacentral:tRNA from 1 species